UGCUCUUUUUUCAUGGUGUGUGGAAACAAGC
rnacentral:piRNA from 1 species